GACGAACGCUGGCGGCGUGCCUAAUACAUGCAAGUCGAGCGGACCGGAUUGGGGCUUGCCUUGAUUCGGUCAGCGGCGGACGGGUGAGUAACACGUGGGCAACCUGCCCGCAAGACCGGGAUAACUCCGGGAAACCGGAGCUAAUACCGGAUAACACCGAAGACCGCAUGGUCUUCGGUUGAAAGGCGGCCUUUGGGCUGUCACUUCCGGAUGGGCCCGCGGCGCAUUAGCUAGUGGGUGAGGUAACGGCUCACCAAGGCGACGAUGCGUAGCCGGCCUGAGAGGGUGACCGGCCACACUGGGACUGAGACACGGCCCAGACUCCUACGGGAGGCAGCAGUAGGGAAUCUUCCGCAAUGGGCGAAAGCCUGACGGAGCGACGCCGCGUGAGCGAAGAAGGCCUUCGGGUCGUAAAGCUCUGUUGUGAGGGACGAAGGAGCGCCGUUCGAAGAGGGCGGCGCGGUGACGGUACCUCACGAGAAAGCCCCGGCUAACUACGUGCCAGCAGCCGCGGUAA
rnacentral:rRNA from 1 species